GAGUUUGAUCUUGGCUCAGAUUGAACGCUGGCGGCAGGCCUAACACAUGCAAGUCGAGCGGAUGACGGGAGCUUGCUCCUUGAUUCAGCGGCGGACGGGUGAGUAAUGCCUGGGAAUCUGCCUGGUAGUGGGGGACAACGUUUCGAAAGGAACGCUAAUACCGCAUACGUCCUACGGGAGAAAGCAGGGGACCUUCGGGCCUUGCGCUAUCAGAUGAGCCUAGGUCGGAUUAGCUAGUUGGUGGGGUAAUGGCUCACCAAGGCGACGAUCCGUAACUGGUCUGAGAGGAUGAUCAGUCACACUGGAACUGAGACACGGUCCAGACUCCUACGGGAGGCAGCAGUGGGGAAUAUUGGACAAUGGGCGAAAGCCUGAUCCAGCCAUGCCGCGUGUGUGAAGAAGGUCUUCGGAUUGUAAAGCACUUUAAGUUGGGAGGAAGGGCAGUAAGUUAAUACCUUGCUGUUUUGACGUUACCGACAGAAUAAGCACCGGCUAACUCUGUGCCAGCCGCCGACGG
rnacentral:rRNA from 1 species